rfam:Oryza glaberrima chromosome 11 Oglab11_0042_5, whole genome shotgun sequence.
AAAAAGACAAACACUAGAUUUUCGUGUCUAAUGUUUGACUGUCCGUCUUAUAUGAAAUUUUUUUGUAAUUAGUAAUUUCAUUGUUGUUAGAUGAUAAAACAUGAUUAAUACUUUAUGCGUGACUUGUCUUUUUAAUUUUUUUCAUAUUUUUUCAAAUAAGACGGACAGUUAAACAUUAGACACGGAAACCCAAGGUUUGUCUUUUU